AAAGUCGUAACAAGGUUUCCGUAGGUGAACCUGCGGAAGGAUCAUUAACAUUCUCUUUUACUUUUGUGGGUUGUGGUUUUUUGAUUUUCGAAUCAAAUUACCCUUCUCAUUCAACCCCACUAUGUGCAUUGUGUUGUGCUUUUGGUUGUAACCGAAAGCACUUCUUUUACUUCUUACUAUUUAAACCCCUUUUUUAUUACUACUUCUAGACUGACUUUAAACAAACUUGAUUCGUACACUUCAUACUGUACGAUGACCAAUCAUAAUACAACUCUUAGCAACGGAUAUCUAGGCUCUC
rnacentral:misc_RNA from 1 species